CAAGUGGGACGUCCAUGUACAGCUUGUGUCAAUUUCAGUCUCGUCAAUAGUACAACCACCUGUGUUAAUAUCAGGGACCCUUGUGACCCAAAUUUUGGACAGCCGUGUCGCUAUCCUUAUCGUUGUGUGUCUGGUUGCGACUGCAGCGCCAUUUGUGCCCUGGGUUAUUUCUGCUUUGACCCAAGCCACAUUUAUGGGAAAUAACCAGUGGAAAAAA